GCACUGUUGAAGUGAGCGGAGCGCGGGGAGCCCGCUUCUUGGCGCUGAGGGAUCUCUCCCCGCACGGCCGGGACCCCCCCGACGUUCGGCUGCUCGGCCCCCGUUUUCUCAAGGCGCACAAAGGUCUCUGCUUGCAGGAGGAAGCCUACAAAGGGGAUGGUGCCCAGACACCGUUGGUGAAGCUGGAGGUGACUCCUCGCCGCGAGUGGAAGAUGAGAGAGUUCCAUUGCUGUGGGUCUGGCAGUCACGCAGGCUGCCCAGACCUUGUGGACUGCCUAUGCUGGGGCACUGGAAGGUUUUACUCUGUCUGGAUGCUGCUGUGGGAGUGCUAUUGAGGUGGGCAAACUCUGCUUGGUCCCAGUGAGCUUCCAGAGUAAGAUUUCAGCUGAAAGUCAAAGAAACCCAAAGAUAGAAGCAGAAAUACCGUGAGAAAAAAUGAACCCGUAGUUUUCAAGCCGAGUGUGAUACAAGAGGUAAGGGAACUGACUUUGACGUGAUUAACUGCUAGGCCUGUUUGCCAAAAACUGAAACGUCUCCCAUCAUUAUCUUACACUCCCCCUUACGCAGAUUGCUGAACCAGAUCCACAGAUGAUAUCAGCUGGUGGGUGCAGGUACAUUCAUGCGAGUAGUGUUACAGUGAUUUAAGCUAGAUGACAAUCAGCCUCACCAGUUUCAGGAAGUGAGUUUUAUUAUUCAUUUGAUUGAAAGGUAUUUUCCAAUUGUUGCAAAGUGGGAAAUGUGUUUCGAAUUCAUCAUUUUUUUAAGCCUCACACACAUUGUUUGGCAAAUAAGGAUUGUUUUGGUUGUCUGGGACUCGUCCUUUGCAUCCUCCCAAAUGUGAGAUUUUCCUCUUUUCUCUAAUGGGCCAUUCUGGUCCAGCUAAACACACAGUGGCCAGCUUUGCAAAGCAAUAAGCCUUCUUUAGAAUGAGGCCUUUGGUUUCAUCUCUAAUCUUUGUGGAAAAACUGGACAUUACAGUAGAAGGAUUAUGCUAAAUUGCUUUCUGCCACUGAAGAGCUGGACAAAGCAGCAGUUCAAGGCAUGGAAUGAGUAUUCUGAAAUAAGCACUUUGUCACUGAAUUCACUACCAAGAAAUUAACCUAAAUGAUUUCAAUAUACAAGUGUUUGUAAUUUGCAUCUAAGCCUUACACCUUACAGAGACUUCCUUGUUUGCUGUUACUGUAGUCAGUGUUUGCUCACAGGCUGCUUAAAAUCAAGCAGCGAGGUCAAGCUGGGACCCGAUCCAAAGCGGACUGCCUUGCCUUGUCUGCAUAACCUCCCAGGGCUCAUUGCUCUUCAGAGGACUUGAAUGGUGCAAGACUGAGUCUGAAAUUUGUUACUGCAAGGCAGGUUUCCUCCAUUACUUGGGAAUAUCUGA
rnacentral:lncRNA from 1 species